rnacentral:rRNA from 1 species
AGAGUUUGAUCAUGGCUCAGAAUGAACGCUGGCGGCGUGCCUAACACAUGCAAGUCGAGCGAGAAAGCUCCUUCGGGAGUGAGUACAGCGGCGGACGGGUGAGUAACGCGUAAGAAUCUGCCCUUCAGUGAAGAAUACCCUCGAGAAAUCGGGGUUAAUGCUGCAUACGUCCCUUCGGGGAGAAAGAUGGCCUCUUUGCUGUCGCUGAAGGAUGAGCUUGCGUACUAUUAGCUUGUUGGUGGGGUAAAGGCCUACCAAGGCGAUGAUGGUUAGCCGGCCUGAGAGGGUGUACGGCCACAUUGGAACUUAGACACGGUCCAGACUCCUACGGGAGGCAGCAGUGAGGAAUAUUGCGCAAUGGGCGAAAGCCUGACGCAGCGACGCCGCGUGGAGGAUGAAGGUCUUAGGAUUGUAAACUUCUGUUAAGUGGGAAGAAAGGCUCAUUCCUAAUACGAAUGAGAGAUGACGGUACCAUUAGAGAAAGCACCGGCUAACUUCGUGCCAGCAGCCGCGGUAAUACGAGGGGUGCGAGCGUUAUUCGGAAUCAUUGGGCGUAAAGGGUACGCAGGCGGCAAGUUAAGUCAACCGUUAAAUUUUCCGGCCUAACCGGAAGCCAGCGGUAGAUACUGGCAUGCUAGAGGAUGAGAGAGAGAAGUGGAAUUCUCGGAGUAGCGGUAAAAUGCGUGGAUCUCGAGAGGAACACCAAUGGCGAAGGCAGCUUCUUGGCUCAUUCCUGACGCUCAGGUACGAAAGCGUGGGGAGCAAACAGGAUUAGAUACCCUGGUAGUCCACGCUGUAAACGAUGAUCACUAGACGUCAGUCUCGUUCUACGGGAUUGGUGUCGUAGCUAACGCGUUAAGUGAUCCGCCUGGGGACUACGGUCGCAAGAUUAAAACUCAAAGGAAUUGACGG